rnacentral:piRNA from 1 species
UAGCCUGCGGGUGGAAAUAAACUGAGCAGUAU